rnacentral:rRNA from 1 species
AAACUCAAAGGAAUUGACGGGGACCCGCACAAGCGGUGGAUGAUGUGGAUUAAUUCGAUGCAACGCGAAAAACCUUACCUACCCUUGACAUGUCAGGAACUUUCCAGAGAUGGAUUGGUGCUCGAAAGAGAGCCUGAACACAGGUGCUGCAUGGCUGCCGUCAGCUCGUGUCGUGAGAUGUUGGGUUAAGUCCCGCAACGAGCGCAACCCUUGUCAUUAAUUGCCAUCAUUCAGUUGGGCACUUUAAUGAAACUGCCGGUGACAAACCGGAGGAAGGUGGGGAUGACGUCAAGUCCUCAUGGCCCUUAUGGGUAGGGCUUCACACGUCAUACAAUGGUACAUACAGAGGGCCGCCAACCCGCGAGGGGGAGCUAAUCCCAGAAAGUGUAUCGUAGUCCGGAUUGUAGUCUGCAACUCGACUACAUGAAGUUGGAAUCGCUAGUAAUCGCGGAUCAGCAUGUCGCGGUGAAUACGUUCCCGGGUCUUGUACACACCGCCCGUCACACCAUGGGAGCGGGUUUCACCAGAAGUAGGUAGCCUAACCGUAAGGAGGGCGCUUACCACGGUGGGAUUCGUGACUGGGGUGAAGUCGUAACAAGGUAACCGUA